AAAUUGAAGAGUUUGAUCAUGGCUCAGAUUGAACGCUGGCGGCAGGCCUAACACAUGCAAGUCGAACGGUAACAGGAAGCAGCUUGCUGCUUCGCUGACGAGUGGCGGACGGGUGAGUAAUGUCUGGGAAACUGCCUGAUGGAGGGGGAUAACUACUGGAAACGGUAGCUAAUACCGCAUAAUGUCGCAAGACCAAAGAGGGGGACCUUCGGGCCUCUUGCCAUCGGAUGUGCCCAGAUGGGAUUAGCUUGUUGGUGGGGUAACGGCUCACCAAGGCGACGAUC
rnacentral:rRNA from 1 species